rnacentral:rRNA from 1 species
UACGAGUGCCCCAAGCGUUAUCCGGAAUUAUUGGGCGUAAAGGGUGUGUAGGUGGUUUUGUUAGUCUUCUGUAAAAUUCUUCGGCUUAACCGGGGGCCUGCAGGGGAAACGGCAGAACUAGAGGAUGCGAGAGGUUAGUGGAACUCAUGGUGUAGGGGUGAAAUCCGUUGAUAUCAUGGGGAACACCAAAAGCGAAGGCAACUAACGUGGCGCACUCCUGACACUGAAACACGAAAGCGUGGGUAGCGAAUGGG